UCAAGAUGACAGACUUAAUUUCCCAGCUACCAGAAGCACUGCCAGCAGCUUCCUCCAGGGAUGACCUCAAUGAAGAAGACUGCCCUGCCAAAGGUCACAUCCUUUGACCAAUGAUGUGGGAGUCUAAAGGCCUGAUCCUCUCUGCCUAACUUGGGAUAUCUUCCAAAUGCCCUAUAAGACCUCAGACACAGAGCUGAAGAAUCAGGAACUCAGAAAUGGUGACCAGAACACAUGAAAACCCAGGCACAAAAGCCUGCUUUCUCUAGCCACAGAACCAAGAAAAGUGCAGUCUAGCCAAGGAGAAACCUUUAAACAAUAAACACUCAACUCUGGCCAAAUACCAGAGAAAUACCUGUGGCCCCAUGCCCCCACUCAACAAAGAAGGCCAAGCGGGAAGCCUAGACCUCCACCCUCAUCUGCAAAUGGGAGAGGUGGACAGAAUUUCCAGGUCCCUUCAGCUGAUAGUGCCACAGAGAAUUCAUGAAGAUUUCACAUUGGUGGGUGUGAUCUUUAUCAUCAAAGAGAAAGAUGGAUUUUCUUUAAUAACAUUAAACACAGGGUGAGUCUUUCUCGUGAAUUGCUGUUAUUAAUCCCAGGCAGACAGGAGCAGGAACAAAAUGGAUACGGUGCCUCCCGUUCCUGCUGGAAGCAGAGGUGGUGCAGAGACCACAGGCCCCACCCCCACCUUACUUUCAUGGACUUCUCUUUGAAACUACAAUGGUUUCCGGGCUCUUUAUCUAAUUAAAAAGGUCCAAUCAAUA